CGGAUGCCUCGACUCUGCAUUCCGACGAAGGACGUGGCCAGCUGCGAUAAGCUUCGGUGAGCCGCUAGGCAGGCGCUAUGAACCGGAGAUUUCCGAAUGGGGAAACCCCCGAGGAGUUAUGUCCUCGGACCUGGUCUCUCUUUUGUUUUUGAUGGGAAGAAGAGUUUAUUACGUUGAUUAGGUGAUUAGGUUUAUUGGGAACCCAAUAAACGUAAUCAACUUAAAAAACCCAAUAAACUUUUUCCAGAAUUAAAUAAUGAACAAUGCCCAUCGAAAUCAUAAGUGAGACCAGGGGGUCACUCUGUGAACUGAAACAUCUCACGUAACAGAGGAAAAGAAAUCAUAAGAGAUUCCCUUAGUAGUGGCGAGCGAACAGGGAACAGCCCAAACCCA
rnacentral:rRNA from 1 species